rnacentral:rRNA from 1 species
ACUGCUCAGUAACACGUGGACAACCUGCCCUUAGGUUGGGUAUAAACCCGGGAAACUGGGUAUAAUACCCGAUAGGUCUCGAUUGCUGGAAUGCAUCGAGAUUUAAAGCUCCGGCGCCUAAGGAUGGGUCUGCGGCCUAUCAGGUAGUAGUGGGUGUAGCGUACCUACUAGCCUACGACGGGUACGGGUUGUGAGAGCAAGAGCCCGGAGAUGGAUUCUGAGACACGAAUCCAGGCCCUACGGGGUGCAGCAGGCGCGAAAACUUUACAAUGCUGGAAACAGCGAUAAGGGAACCUCGAGUGCCAGGUUACAAAUCUGGCUGUCGUGAUGCCUAAAAAGCAUUGCAUAGCAAGGGCCGGGCAAGACCGGUGCCAGCCGCCGCGGUAACACCGGCGGCUCGAGUGGUAACCGUUAUUAUUGGGUCUAAAGGGUCUGUAGCCGGCCGGAUAAGUCUCUUGAGAAAUCUGGCAGCUUAACUGUCAGGCUUUCAGGAGAUACUGUCUGGCUCGAGGCCGGGAGAGGUGAGAGGUACUUCAGGGGUAGGGGUGAAAUCUUGUAAUCCUUGAAGGACCACCAGUGGCGAAGGCGUCUCACCAGAACGGACCUGACGGCAAGGGGCGAAAGCUAGGGGCACGAACCGGAUUAGAUACCCGGGUAGUCCUAGCCGUAAACGAUACUCGCUAGGUGUCGGCCACGGUGCGACCGUUGUCGGUGCCGUAGGGAAGCCGUGAAGCGAGCCACCUGGGAAGUACGGCCGCAAGGCUGAAACUUAAAGGAAUUGGCGGGGGAGCACCACAACGGGUGGAGCUUGCGGUUUAAUUGGAUUCAACGCCGGG